GCUCAUGUCAGCAGAACAUUCUCUAAAAUUGGAACCACAGAGAAGAUAAGCAUGGCCAUACCACAAGGUGAUACAUUAAUCCGUGAAGCAUUCCAUUUCACA